rnacentral:rRNA from 1 species
GGAAAGAAGACCCUGUUGAGCUUGACUCUAGUCUGACUCUGUGAAAAGACAUGAGAGGUGUAGAAUAAGUGGGAGUAGCAAUACGUCGGUGAAAUACCACUACUCUUAUUGUUUUUUUACUUAUUCGAUGAAGCGGAAGCGAACCGCAAGGUUCACGUUCUGGAUUUAAGGUCUCUCUUUUGCAGACCGAUCCGUGUCGAAGACACUGUCAGGUUGGGAGUUUGGCUGGGGCGGCACAUCUGUCAUACGAUAACGCAGGUGUCCUAAGGUAAGCUCAAUGAGAACAGAAAUCUCAUGUAGAACAAAAGGGUAAAAGCUCACUUGAUUUUGAUUUUCAGUAUGAAUACAAACUGUGAAAGCAUGGCCUAUCGAUCCUUUAGUCUUUAGGAGUUUUAAGCUAGAGGUGUCAGAGAAGUUACCACAGGGAUGACCUCCGACUUUGCAAGGAGCUUUACCC